UUAUCAGAGAGUUUGAUCCUGGCUCAGGAUUAACGCUGGCGGCGUGCCUAACACAUGCAAGUCGAAUGAUUACAUGGCGGACGGCUGAGUAACACGUUGGUACCUGCCCCGAACUCGGGGAUACCCCCUGGAAACGGGGACUAAUACCCGAUAGUCUCUUCGGAGUAAAGAUUUAUCGGUUCGGGAGGGGCCUGCGUCCGAUUAGCUAGUUGGUGAGGUAAUGGCUCACCAAGGCGACGAUCGGUAGGUGGUCUGAGAGGACGAUCACCCAGACUGGGAC
rnacentral:rRNA from 1 species